AUCCUUCGGUUCAUGAGCAUGAUGAGUGGUGACGUCACGUCUGUACGUGACAGGUGCAGCCCUCCUUGUUACGCAGUGCGCCUCAAACCAGCUGAUC